UACGGAGGGAGCUAGCGUUGUUCGGAAUUACUGGGCGUAAAGCGCACGUAGGCGGCUUUGUAAGUUAGAGGUGAAAGCCCGGGGCUCAACCCCGGAAUUGCCUUUAAGACUGCAUCGCUUGAAUCCGGGAGAGGUGAGUGGAAUUCCGAGUGUAGAGGUGAAAUUCGUAGAUAUUCGGAAGAACACCAGUGGCGAAGGCGGCUCUCUGGGCCUUACCUGACGCUGAGGAGCGAAAGCGUGGGUAGCGAACAGG
rnacentral:rRNA from 1 species